AACGAACGCUGGCGGCAGGCUUAACACAUGCAAGUCGAGCGCCCCGCAAGGGGAGCGGCAGACGGGUGAGUAACGCGUGGGAAUCUACCCAUCUCUACGGAAUAACGCAUGGAAACGUGUGCUAAUACCGUAUACGUCCUUCGGGGGAAAGAUUUAUCGGAGAUGGAUGAGCCCGCGUUGGAUUAGCUAGUUGGUGGGGUAAAGGCCUACCAAGGCGACGAUCCAUAGCUGGUCUGAGAGGAUGAUCAGCCACACUGGGACUGAGACACGGCCCAGACUCCUACGGGAGGCAGCAGUGGGGAAUAUUGGACAAUGGGCGCAAGCCUGAUCCAGCCAUGCCGCGUGAGUGAUGAAGGCCCUAGGGUUGUAAAGCUCUUUCACCGGUGAAGAUAAUGACGGUAACCGGAGAAGAAGCCCCGGCUAACUUCGUGCCAGCCGCCGCGGUAA
rnacentral:rRNA from 2 species